GGAACUUGCCUCUUGGUCUGGGACAACUGUUGGAAACGACAGCUAAUACCGGAUAUUAUGAGAUUCUCGCAUGGGAAACUUAUGAAAGCUAUAUGCGCCAAGAGAGAGCCUUGCGUUCCAUUAGCUAGUUGGUGGGGUAACGGCCCACCAAGGCGACGAUGGAUAGCCGGCCUGAGAGGGUGAACGGCCACAAGGGGACUGAGACACGGCCCUUACUCCUACGGGAGGCAGCAGUGGGGAAUAUUGGACAAUGGGCCACAAGCCUGAUCCAGCAAUUCUGUGUGCACGAUGAAGGUCUUCGGAUUGUAAAGUGCUUUCAGUUGGGAAGAAGAAAGUGACGGUACCAACAGAAGAAGCGACGGCUAAAUACGUGCCAGCAGCCGCGGUAAUACGUAUGUCGCAAGCGUUAUCCGGAUUUAUUGGGCGUAAAGCGCGUCUAGGCGGAAAAAUAAGUCUGAUGUUAAAAUGCGGGGCUCAACUCCGUAUUGCGUUGGAAACUGUUUUUCUAGAGUACUGGAGAGGUGGGCGGAACUACAAGUGUAGAGGUGAAAUUCGUAGAUAUUUGUAGGAAUGCCGAUGGAGAAGUCAGCUCACUGGACAGAUACUGACGCUAAAGCGCGAAAGCGUG
rnacentral:rRNA from 1 species